rnacentral:rRNA from 1 species
UGGGGAAUAUUGGACAAUGGGCGAAAGCCUGAUCCAGCAAUACCGCGUGUGUGAAGAAGGCCUGAGGGUUGUAAAGCACUUUCAAUGGGAAGGAAUACCUGCAGGUUAAUACCCGGCAGACUGACAUUACCCAUACAAGAAGCACCGGCUAACUCCGUGCCAGCAGCCGCGGUAAUACGGAGGGUGCAAGCGUUAAUCGGAAUUACUGGGCGUAAAGCGUGCGUAGGCGGUUAUUUAAGUCAGAUGUGAAAGCCCUGGGCUUAACCUGGGAACUGCAUUUGAUACUGGGUGACUAGAGUUGAGUAGAGGAGAGUGGAAUUUCAGGUGUAGCGGUGAAAUGCGUAGAGAUCUGAAGGAACACCAGUGGCGAAGGCGGCUCUCUGGACUCAAACUGACGCUGAGGUACGAAAGCGUGGGUAGCAAACA